AAUUACCACAAACUACAAUGAACUUCGUUCAGCUUUUGUUGCUUCUUGUUUUGGUAAUACUGACCGUCUACGUAAUGGGAUCAGUUGCCUCGCCCUGGAGAUGGCACAGAAGAUGGUCUGAUUCACACAGUGGCGGUUGGAGCUGGAGUCGUUGAUAUCAAGAUGAUCCCACCACAAAGAAAUUCAUUUCAAUGCUAUAUAUUUUUUGAAAACUGUAAAUAAGUAUCUAUUUGGUUACGAAAAUUGAAUGAAAAUAUAAUUACUGGAACAAAAUGUUAUGUUAUUUUGCAUUUGCGUUCUACAUAUCUGACUUUAAUAAAAAUGGACAGAAGUUGA